GAUUCAGGGGCCAAAAUCAAGUCUGAGGACCGGAUGGAAGGAGGACUCAGACACAAGCCACGACCCCGCCCCCUUUCUGACCUGACCCUCCCCUACCCGGGUCUCCGCGCGGGGGUCUGCCUGGCUUGCAGCUCCUUCGACACCGCCCCCAUCACGCAGGAUUCUGCCCUGUCCUACUUACUGCCCCUGCCUACUUUCUCCCUGGAGAGGGAACCAGAGACUGAUUGGGACCCCCUUGCUCACUCCUUCCUAAGCCCACUAACCCUCUGGAGCCCUUGCUCCCCACCCCCUCCAGUGUGAGGGUCUCAGAAGCCUCUGCUCGUCCCUCUCGCAGAGCCAAUAGAGGCUCCCAGGAUCCUUUCUGCUUUGCCCCUAAUGUAGAUUUCCCGGGCUUCACUGACCUGCUCCCUCAGAGUGUGGGUCUCGAGACUUGUUCACCGCUCUUGACAACCCCCACCCCACUUCAGCGAGCUCUCAGAAUUCUGUUUUCCCCCACCCGUGUGGACUUCCAGAGUCCUCUGUGCACUCGCCAGCGCGAGCCCUGGAAGAAAGGCACUUCUGAGGGAAUGAAGCGGAGGGCAGCCAUGGCUCAAGAUGGGAGGGGCCUCGGCUUCUGGCCCCUCCUCGGGGCUCAGGCUGGGCCCGGACCUCUCCUCUCAACCCCUCCUCUCAACUGAGGGGGCCGCUGUGGCGGGUGAUGUGGAUGGAUGGAUACCUGUGCGAGGUGGACCCUCCCAGCUGUUGAAGUCAGGGCCUGGGGCCCAGAUGGCGCAAGUCCGGGAAAGAAGCCGUCCUCCCAGACAGCUGCCUUGACGGGGCCAGGGUGCCACAUGCCAUACGGAGCGCCAGCUUGAGCAAGAAGGCACCAGAGAGUCCUGGCAACCCUAGUGAAACCUCAACUCAGCCACCAUUUACAUCCUGGCAAGACUCAGUGAAAGAGUGGCUCGCCGAGGAAAUGGGUGGAAGGAUUGGAGCAGAAACCAGCCAGAGGAAGGAGAUUUGAGAGGUUUGAGGAAAAGAGUUGUGGAGGAAGGGAGCCUGGACUGGUCCUUGUGAAGGUGACUAUUUGCAGCUGAAGUUUGGAGAGUUGCUUGCAAGAAAUCACAAGCAGAGUCAAGCAGGCUUCCUGAGGAGGCUGGAGAGGCCCUGGCACUGCUGCUUUGGGACCCAGGUGAUGUUUCUUGACACAGAGCUCGGGAGAAGGACACUCUGUUCAUCUCUGCACAGAACCACUGCCCCCGUCUAGAACACUGGGGGCAUCAGAGGAGGCAGCAUUCAUGGAUGCUGAGGACCCCACAAGGACCAUCUGCAGUAGAGGCUCCUUUCCCAGGCCUCCACGAGCCCUGCCUGGUGACUGCUGUGGAUAGAUGGCAGAAGCCUCUGUGCUGCCUAAGGCUGUUAUGGUUUCUCCCCGCCGCUGAACUACUAUGGCCAGUGUCUGUCAUAGUUACCUUGGCUACACGACCCUUGUCUGUAUCUCCAGAGAGAGAGCCAUGUUUGGAAGAAAGAACAUGAGGCCCCAUGCCUGAAAGGAGUCCCAAGAAGAAGGAAAUGUAAAAUAGUGAACAAUGUGGGAUUUUGACUUGGUCAGACUUCAGUUCCAAUCCUUGUUAUGUCAUACACUAUCUACCAGAACUUUACAGCUUCUCCGAGUUUCAGUUUGCAUAGUUCAAAAUGGAACCGAUAAUAUCUAUCCUGCUGGAUUCUUGUAAAAAAUCAUUAAAACUUCUGUAAAGCAUAAAAAGCUUAGGUAUUGAAUAAAUGGCAAGUAUUAAUAUCUGUAAAAUGGAGGUGCCUUCAUAAUACCCACUUUGCAAUGUGGUUAUGAAAAGUAGGGGGAAAAUGCCUUUGGCCUAUAGCAGAUGUUUAAUAAAUGGUAGUUGUUAGUCUCACUUGCCAUGA